rnacentral:lncRNA from 1 species
UGGAUCUGCACCAGGAUUUUAGAAAGGAGCAGUCCCAUAGCUCAUUGUCAUUCCCUUGAGCUAGCCAGUCCCAUGGGCCAUACCUAACAACAGUGAAUGCAAAGAAUAAAUCAAACUCUCGGGUCACUUUAAAAAGCUUAGUUUUCUUAUGAAAAUGAAGCUUUAACUUUGCCUGGCACAUCAGGGAUCUAAAGGAAUACAAUCUUCCAUUUAUUUGCAUUAGCCGGAAAGGUAUUGUGCCAACACGGAACCUUAUUUUCAGCAAACGCAAUUUUGCAGGAGAGAAGGAAAAGGAAGAAUUAAGAUAUCUAUCUGAAGUGAAUUUAACCAGAUACAAAAAUUCUGUUAUGGCUAAAUAAGUGCAAGUAAUAAAGAUACCUGUUUACAGAAUAGUGCUUUCUUUACUAAAAUUCUACAUUGCCUGUUAGAAGAUGAGAGUAUGUCAGAAGCACACAGCUUCGAGCUAAGCAGCUGCAACAUAUUUCAAAGCUGUACAUGAGCUAUGCGUUAGAGGAAGGAAGUAAAGGCUCAUCUCAGUAUAUUUUAGAGAACAAAUUAAAACAGUAGUUUGUCUCUCUGAAGCAAACUGAUUAAUAGUUACACACAAACUCAUCAAUAAUGCUAAUGCCUAGCAAUAGGUUAAUGCUGUACAUUAGCCUAUUUGAUAUAAAUGAAACCACAGGAAACAUUUAUUUAAGUUGUGAGUUUCAUUGUGUGAUUGCCUCUUUCCCAAGUUUGACCUUAUAAUUAAAUUGUUCACACCACACAUAUAAUUAUUUUCUGCUAGUUGGUGUACAUUUAAUAUUCAGGCAAUCCUUUUAGCCAAUGUCAGUAUAAUUUAGUUAAUAAUCACUAUCUAUUACAAAUACAAAGAUUGAGCCUCUUUGCUCCUCUCACCUCCAACAUAUAUGCAUUCUAAAGUGUUUCAGACAUUUCCUUUUUUUCCCUCUCUAAUGGUUUUUCUUCCAUAUAAUCUCAUAUAUCUCAUGAAUAAAAUUUAGUAUCACAGUUUGGGAAUUUAAGUGAGGAAAUUUUGUUUUCCACUGAAAUUAAUUUGGGGAAAUUUUUCUUUAUUAUAUAAAUCUACAAAUCUGAACAUAAUCCAAAAAAGUAAAAAUCUAUAUACCGUAGUGUGCUGUAUAGUAUAGACUAGAUUUAAAGAAUUAGUGAGGCUAACCAAAAACUAGUGGUAACAAGAUGGUUUUAUAUAUUUUCUUAAACUGUUUAUUUACUUUAUAUUUUAUUGAUAUAUCAUUUGAUUAUCUAAAAAGCAAUUUAUAAGUUACGCCCCCAAAAUAGCACCGUAUAGACACAUAAGUGAAAAAAUAAUUUCUACCUUUUGUUUUUCAUUUAAUAUGUUUGAACAUUUAUAUUUUAAAUACUCAUUAUCUUAUAUAGAGACUUGUAGCUAUAGAGCGAGCUUGUCCAACCCAUGGCCUGGUGGGCCGCAUGUGACCUAAAAUGGCUUUGAAUGUGGCUCAACACAAAUUCGUAAACUUUUUUUUUUUUUUGAGAUGACAUCUUGCUCUGUCACCCAGGAUACAUGACAUUGCUUCACAAGAUAUCUUCAAACCCCUUGUCUCCUAACUUAGCACUAAUUUGGUAAUCAUUCAGACGUUAUCAUUACAAAAACUACAAAGCCUAUUCUUUCUUUCAGGCAGUCUGCCCUGAGGGUAUAAACAAUAGUAUUUAUUACAUAUUCUUUAGGACCCCCAUGUUAUACCCUAUUAAACCUUGAUAAAUAUUCUUCUGUGUUUCUAGAACAAACAAAUUGCUUUCCUGCUCAUUGUUCCUUGGCUCCGCUAAAAAAAAAAAAAAAAAAAAAAAGAGAAUCCAGUUAGCCUGGCUUGGGUAACAAUAACUCUUCCUUGACUAAGAGAGGGAGGUGAUUGGAACGCAGCCCUGCCAGUCUAUGUUCAAUGAGGACAAUACUUUUCUAAAUGCAACUGAGGCUGCUCUUAGAAAAUAAAAAUAGGUACGGGCAGUCAAAAACCCACAGACAUCCAUGGUUGUGACUUUCAAAAUAAUUCCCAUUAUCUCGUGUGUGUGUGUGUGUGUGUGUGUGUAUGUAGAUAAGUUAAUCUGUCCUAAAAACUGCUUUAAAAUCAUAUUUUGUUAAGAUUUAUUUCUGAUUAUAACAGUAACACAUAUUUACUGUAGAACACUUGGAAACUAAAUGUGAAAAGUCACUUACAAUCCCAAGAACGAUCUAGUAUUGACAUUUUGAUGUUAUUCUUUUUGUCUUUCUACAAGUAGUUAUACAUACACAUAUAUCUAUAUACUCUAUACUAAAAUUUGAGAUGGUUCCUGUACUUUUGUGUUGUACAUUUGUCACUUAGUUGAUUGUUACUAUGUUUAUAUUAUUAAUCUCUAAGAACAUGAUUCCAUGAAAUCGAUAAUCAUCUAUAAUAUAAUCAUUCUACAUUGUUGUACCUUUAGGUUGGUAAGUAAUAAUAGUAGUAACAGAGAAGAAAAUAAAACAGCUAAUAUUUAUCAGGUAUGUAUUGUAGGUCAGAUACUCUGUGGCAUGCUUUACGUGCAGUUUUAUUUUACUAAAGCAGAAACUAAAGCUCAGGGAGAUAAAUUUCC